AGAGACAACAAAAUAACAUCAAAGUCAAAGAAAUAAGGGAGAGUCAAGGAAAGAGAGUGCUCUCCAAGAUUCAAGUGCUGCUGAUUUUUGAAUAGUCACAUUGCUCUCAUUGGUUGUCAUAGCCUGUUUCCACAACACAUACCCAAGAUGGUCAUAAGUCUAGUAUGUGCUGGAGCUACACCUAAAGCGUCCCAUUUAAAGUCCUAUUUUGCAUCUUACACAAGUUAUUUUGGGAAAAAAAAUAAAAAUUAUACAAGUUGUUCCAGAAGGAAAAUGGAUGUAUUGUCAAGUUAUCGUUAUUCAUUAUGCCAGAAAAUACCCACGGUAUGUUAGCCCUCACCACGCAACUAAGACACAGAACGUCGAACAGCAGCGUGGGAACAAAAAGUUACCUAAGGCAGGAGCAGCUAAUACCUAAAGGAGGCACAACACAUGCGCUUUGGCAUUACUUUGACCAUUAUUUAAGCUCACUGCUAUCAAAUAAUGUAAAUCAACUGAUACAAUAAACAACUAAGUCUACAACUCCAAAAAGCAAAGAGACAGAUUAAAGAAAGGAUAGCUGGAAGAAAUACAGGGACCAUGGCACAUACAAAACCAGUUUAUACACUUUUUUUUUUGCAAUCUAGAUCUACAGUUUUAAAAGCUAUUCUAAACCAAAACAAAGGGAAGACUGUUAAAAAAGUACAGUAAUAUUUCUAUAGAUAAGACGUGUAACAGGACUCAAAACCACAUUUAUUACUGAGUGGUAAGUUUUCCAUGCCAACUGAAGAGAGAAAGAGAAGCCAAUACAUCAACGUCAGCCGACUAUAUUUGCACCUAUUACGUCAAAACAUUUUCUAGAGCUCAUGCUUACAAAGUUUCUCCUCACAACACAAAGCAACAGCCAGGUAACAGCUCAAGUCUGCCAGUAUUAAGCCUAACAAUGGAAAUGGAUUUUUCAGUCUUCAUCUGCUGCAAUUUACUCAAGACACAGCUGCUACUCAAAACUCAACUCUUAUUUCACGUUUAUUUAUUUGGAAAACCAUUACCUGCUAUGGAAGCAAAAAGCAAUGCAAACAAAACACCAGAGGUUUGGAAUAAGCUAAGUGCUGAAUAGGUGGGAGGUAGGCAACACCUGCAAGGCUACAGCAGCAGGUACUUCACCUUAUAUCAUUGAAUCAUAUUCCUUUGAAAAGAGGACAAAGUAAGAACAUCUGCGGUCUUGUGUGCCUCUCCCUCUUUAAAAAUUUCUCUGGAAGACUGAAGAUUUCAGCUGGCUUACACCCCCAACCUACCACUGGCUGCCCCAAAUUACUAAAACGAUAUUAAAAGGGUUUGAAUUUAAGCAAGUGAAUGGAUUUUAAGUUAAAGGAGUUUACCUAUGCCAUAACACGAUCUGUAACAUAUGGUAACAUAGAUUUGUAACAUGUUAAGCCAUAACACAGACUGUGUGAGAAGGAAAACACGUCUUCAGGGACAUUAAGAAAGGUCAGUCUCCACAUCUACUCUACUGUAUAUUCAACAACGGCACUCAAAGGUCCAGAGCCAUUUGAUCAAUCUUCUCAAAUGGAAGUUAAACAAAUCUGUAGCGUAAGAAUGCAGAGCUUCUUCAAAGAAUUACUUCGAAGUGGCAUGAGUCCUGAUGGCUGAUUCCAUGAUCCAUGUCUUCCCAACCCCUUCUCUACCUUUUCAGUUCAAAAUGUUCAAGCAUCUAGUUAAAACUUGCUCAGCAUAAGUCAAAAAAGGAAGCAUUAAGACAUAACUCCACUGUGGACAUCAAUGCUUACAGGACAUUGCUGUAACCAGCAUUUAAAAAAAUCUUUGUUUUCAAAAAUGCAUAAUAAUACUAUCAAAGUCUCAACUCUAUUUUCACUGGAAUUAUUGGAAUUCAGCAAGUGUCACCAUACCUGUAAACUGUUUCAACAGGCGAACAAGUUAGACACACCAGAUGUAUUACGACAAAAGAACACAGACUACAGAGAACAAACUAAGGCAUUGUAUGUCUUCAUAGGAUUCAAAGAUUACAGGCUGUUAUAGCUGCACAGUCCAGAAGACAAAUCUGGUGAUCCGCAAGAUCUCCUGUCCAUUCAGGUUAAUUUUGUGCUGAGUAAAACUCUUAUUAUGAAAAAGAUAUUAAGUAUUCCCUUAAAAUUAACUUUUCCUAAUUUUUGUUGUUUAGAGUAAAUAAUAUUAAAUUACAAUCACAAAUUCUCAGAUAAUCUAUUACAAAAACAUUGUUCAGGCUGUAAUCCCCACUUGAAAUAGCACAUUCUGUUGCCUUGUGGGAGCUUUUUGACUGAAAAAAAGACAAUGACUGGAUAGGUAAUCUACUAAAUGCUGGACAGCUGAAGUUAUAGUUAUAUAAAUAAGCUAGUGGGAG